UGAGGAUUGGAUAUAUCUGAUAACAUUGAGGACUGACCUGAGGAUUGGAUAUAUCUGAUAAUAUUGAGGACUGACCUGAGGAUUGGAUAUAUCUGAUAACAUUGAGGUCUGACCUGAGGGUUGGAUAUAUCUCUGAUAACAUUGAGGUCUGACCUGAGGGUUGGAUAUAUCUCUGACAACAUUGAGGUCUGACCUGAGGGUUGGAUAUAGCCCUGACUGCGUUGAGGUCUGACCCAGAGCAGAAUGUCCCAGCAGCCCCAUGGAUGAUGAGACCUUUGCCCUCCGUCCACUCCUCUAGCUGGGACACCCUCUCCUCCAGCUCCACCAUCAUGGAACCUGGAGAAAACAACAGGGUAGUGUUCAGUAGGGAUAAAACGUUUUGAACCCGAGUGAAACACGGAGGUACAACCUGAACAUGUUCAAUAUGAGGUGGAGGAUUGACGUGUUCAGUAGGGAUAAAACGUUUUGAACCUGAGUGAAACACGGAGGUACAACCUGAACAUGUUCAAUAUGAGGUGGAGGAUUGACGUGUUCAGUAGGGAUAAAACGUUUUGAACCCGAGUGAAACACGGAGGUACAACCUGAACAUGUUCAAUAUGAGGUGGAGGAUUGACGUGUUCAGUAGGGAUAAAACGUUUUGAACCCGAGUGAAACACGGAGGUACAACCUGAACAUGUUCAAUAUGAGGUGGAGGAUUGACGUGUUCAGUAGGGAUAAAACGUUUUGAACCUGAGUGAAACACGGAGGUACAACCUGAACAUGUUCAAUAUGAGAUGGAGGAUUGACGUGUUCAGUAGGGAUAAAACGUUUUGAACCUGAGUGAAACACGGAGGUACAACCUGAACAUGUUCAAUAUGAUCUUUUAUUUCAUUUUUAAACAGAUGAAACAACAUCUCACGGAACGACGACGACUUUUGUUUUGUUGUUAAAUGGUUUGUUAAAGUCCUUGUCCAUCAGGUGUAUCAGUGUUCUGUUACUUGUCAUGUUUUGUCUUUUUUUUUUUUUUGUUGCUGCUAAUGGAGAUACAAAUAAACACGUUUUUUAUUGGUCAUCUGUUGCUAAACGUUUUGCUACAGUGUGCCCUACUCAACACAACCCAGUUCAUCGAGCACCAGCCCCCUUAGUUCCACUGUCAUUCUCAGGAGAAACCAAAGAGUCAGAAAUAUCAACUGAAAUAUAUUUCGCUCCGUUUGGUGAAGAGAACCAAAGAGAAUCGGAGUGAUAUUUAGUCUGAAUUGCAGGUUAGCAAAGAGCAACACUCGGAUCGAUUAAUAAAAUAUAACAUUAGGCAGU